rnacentral:rRNA from 1 species
CCAGACUCCUACGGGAGGCAGCAGUGGGGAAUAUUGCACAAUGGGGGAAACCCUGAUGCAGCGACGCCGCGUGAGUGAAGAAGUAUUUCGGUAUGUAAAGCCCUAUCGGCAGGGAAGAAAAGCGAACAGGUUCGCCUGGACGGUACCUGACUAAGAAGCCCCGGCUAACUACGUGCCAGCAGCCGCGGGAAUACGUAGGGGGCAAGCGUUAUCCGGAUUCACUGGGUGUAAAGGGAGCGUAGACGGCGGCGCAAGUCUGGAGUGAAAGCCCGGGGCCCAACCCCGGGACUGCUCUGGAAACUGUACGGCUGGAGUGCAGGAGAGGUAAGUGGAAUUCCUAGUGUAGCGGUGAAAUGCGUAGAUAUUAGGAGGAACACCAGUGGCGAAGGCGGCUUACUGGACUGUAACUGACGUUGAGGCUCGAAAGCGUGGGGAGCAAACAGGAUUAGAUACCCCGGUA